rnacentral:lncRNA from 12 species
GUGCAUCUGUCAUAUGUGAUAUUCCUGAACCUUCAAAGUUUUGAUCAGGAAGGUUUGUGGGGUUUUUUUUUAAGGACUUUAUUUACUUAUUCAUGAGAGACACACAUAGAGAGAGAGAGGCAGAGACAUAGGCAGAGGGAGGAACAGGCUCUUUGCAGGGAGCUUGAUGCAGGACUCCAUCCCAGGACCUCAUGAUCAGGACCAAAGCCAAAGGCUGAGGCUCAACCACUGAGCCACCCAGGUGCCCCAAUCAGGAAGGUUUUUAUUGGUAUUCCCUACAGGGAGAAGAGAAAGGCGCCCAGAGAGCUCAAAGCUUCCGAGACUGCACAGCUAGUAAGCGGCGUUCCUAGGUGUAUCAGUGAGGUCCUGACAGCAAUCAGCAGCUCAAACUGAGUCAUUGAGAAGUGUUUUUCAUUAACUAUCAACAAACGUGUCGCUUGUGGGCAACAAGUUGAGGAAACCAGCAAGGAAGGAGAGGUGAAGGGCUAUACCCAGGCUUGAAGGGCACGUGGGGCAGAAGGCGGGAAGUUUCUAUAAGCUCCCAGAUAUUUCUGGAACCAGGGUAACCUUUGCUGAGUGAAAGAGCUGUCAGGAGCUGCGGCUCUGUUAGAGGACCUCAGGGCCAUCAAAGCUGCUCCUUCCUCUGGCCCUCGGACUUCUGGUGGCUCCCAGGAGUCCCGUGGGCUCAACCCAACAGAAAGGCAGAGGCUAGGAGGGCUCGGAUGCCAUCGCACAAGUCAGGGCACUCCACUUCCGUCCUGAGUGCGUCCGCAGGGAAAACCAGAGAACGCGCAGACCCUUCGCGAGCGGGAGCUGCAGGGGCCCCCGCCCCCCUCGGCUCGCGCGCUGGCUCGGCGGGCGGGAGGGCGCGUCCCCAGCGGAGGCUGGUUGCCAUGGCGACCGCGGGCGCAGGGGCGCGAGUGCGCAAGCGCGCGCUGCGACGCCGGCCUCGGCUCCGCGCAGCUGCGGGGCUCGAGGCGAGACGCCGAGCGCCGCGCGGGGGUCGAGCGGGGCCGGAGCGGGGGCGGCCGCCGGCUUCUCGGCCCGGCAGCGCGGGGCAGGCGGCCCGGGUGGGCCGAGCCGGCGCCUGGCGAGCGGCCCGUCGUGGGCCGGAGCUGCCAGAUCCCAGCCCGGCGGCCGCCAGCCGGGCCCGGGGCGGGCGGAGCGCGGUUUCCGGUCGCAGGACACGUGUCUGCAGAAGGUGUUUUCUGCCAUCUGUUUGCAUACAGCCAAACUCCUUAGAAGUGUGGCUGAUGACAAAGGUUGGAAGCGGGAGACACUGCGUCCUGCGCAUGCCCUGUAACGUAACGCUCUGGAAGAAGUUUCCCUUUGUAAUUCACAUGCUCUAAUUCUGCGAUGGAGGAAAGAAAGAAACAGGUUUCCGUUUGCAGCUAUUCCUCCACAUGUGUGUGCAUCGAGGUUUUUCUUGGGUUUGCGCAAAACAAAACACAGCACACUGGACUCUUCAAGAUGAGGAAAGCCUGGGAUUCCCCAGCACCCAGGUUCAAAAUCAGGUCGUUAAGACUUCAUUGUGUUAACAGAUGGUCACCGUGAUGGGUAAUUGUAAACAUAUAUGUUACAAAAUAAAAUAUCAACUCUCUCUCUCUCUCUCUUUCUC